AAAUAAUUUUUGUCCAGAAACAAAAUUGAGAGAAACAGUUCGAAUGCCAAGACAGAAACAAUUCGAAUGCCAACAAAAUUUUUGGCUUUCUGUAGUAGUAUAUGGAAAUUGGAAACACUUAAACUUGCUAUCUAUAAUUCUAUAUUCUUCUUUUUUUUCUAUUUGAAAACACCAUAUUCAAAACAAAAUAAAAACACCUGAACAUCCAACAUUUUACACUGCCAAUUACAUUUGCAGUGUCCCAAUUACAUUUACACACUGCCAUUGCCAAGAACACCUGAACAACCAAUAUUUCAGGAAACACCUACAGUUAUAUUUAUACACGGCAAUUAUAUUUACCAACUGGAAACACCUGAACAACCAACAUUCUUCGAAAAAAGGCCAUCCACAAACAGAGCAAACACCUGAACAUUGGCAUUCAUUCACAAUUCAGCAAAACCAUAAACACAACCAUAAUCAGCUCUGUUUAAGGAACAACAAGAGCUCAAAAUGCACCUUAGCCAAAAUGUUUACUUUCAUUUUAUUGAACAUACCCAAAUACCCAAUAAUAUAAUUUCAAGGUAAAACAAAUAAAAACUGGUAAAAAGGUUUAAAAAAAGAGUUAAUCUUUAGCAGCUCUAGCACAAAUUAUGGAAGAAACUAGAAACAUACCUUUGAAUUUUGAUUAGCAGCCGAUCUCUUUGAAGUCCCAACAAGCU
rnacentral:lncRNA from 1 species